GAGGAUUCUCUAGCGCAGGAGCUACAGCAGUCGCAAGCAUGGUUUGUUGACAGGAUGAACUCGUAAGUACAAUAACAGUUUCAUGUAGGGUUUACUAACAGGGAACAGGUAAAGAUGAUGGUGCCAUUCACAAAUAAAAACAACCAAAAUAAUGGACUGAUAUGGUCAAGCAGGUUUAAUUACCCUUAGAAAUUGAGUAUUAAAAUGUUUAGUUUUUAAUUUUUUUGAUGUUGUCAGAGAUGUACGUUAAAUAACCAAGUACAAUCCACCAUAUAGAUAGGUUGUCAGACUCAUAGUCAUUGUCUUGAUAGUUUUAAUCAUAAUAAUAGUUGUAGUUAUGUCAUCACAGUUGUUCGGUCAUGUUCAUGGCACUCUGACGCGUGCUGGUGCACUUUUACGCAUAGGGUCUGUGUGUGGAGUGCCACUACACUUCAAGCAGCUGCACAUUGUAGCAAGCCUUGCGCAUCGUGUUGACCUAUCAAGCUUCUACGGAUGUUGAGGGGUAUAAUUCAAAAGAAUAAAUCUAAUAA
rnacentral:lncRNA from 1 species